rnacentral:rRNA from 1 species
AUACGGAGGUUGCAAGCGUUAUUCGGAAUCACGGGGCGUAAAGGACGCGUAGGCGGGUUGGCAAGUCAGAUGUGAAAUCCUACAGCUUAACUGUAGAACUGCAUUUGAAACUGCUAACCUAGAGUAUGGGAGGGGGAGAUGGAAUUAGUGGUGUAGGGGUAAAAUCCGUAGAUAUCACUAGGAAUACCGAAAGCGAAGGCGAUCUCCUGGAACAUAACUGACGCUAAGGCGUGAAAGCGUGGGGAGCAAACAGGAUUAGAAACCCUAGUAGUCC